rnacentral:lncRNA from 1 species
AAUGAGUAAUGAGUAGUGCUCUAGGGUAAAAUUUUUUAAAAAAAUAAUAAUUAAUUAUUACGAGCUAGGUUACUAUGUUUUUGAACGUACGAAGGUCGUCUUCGUACUUUCAAAUUAUGUUUGAUGAUCGGGUAUCUGAUUCGGUGAUCGACUCUAUUAAAUAUGAUUUACAGUGUUAUAAUUAACUAUCUAUAAACCAACUUUCAUUUUUUUAAAACUUUAUUUCCCAAAUAAACAAGUAGACUCAAAAUUAACGGUUGAAAAUAAAAUUCUCAUAAAAAAACAGUAAUAAAAGAUUUAAAUUUUAAAACGAAAGUAUUAAUCUUGCUCUUGAGGAUAAGUAGAUUGUUUUAUUAAAAUUUUAUCUAAUUUACAUUGUUCAAUACCGUUGAACUUACAAACGUGCCACAUCGGCCAUUAAAAUAGUUAUUUUUAGACCUUUUGAUCACUUAGCAAAUAAUAUCAAAAAUUUAUGAAAUUUCAUUUUUAGAUAGUUCCAAUAGUACAGAUCAUGCUUAAUAGAGCCGAUCGUCAAAUUGGAUGUCUUAUCAUCAAAAAAAAAUUGAAAGUAUGGAGAAUUUCGUGCUUUCGAAAGCACGAAGGACUUCACGCUUUU